UACGUAGGGGGCAAGCGUUGUCCGGAUUUAUUGGGCGUAAAGAGCGUGUAGGCGGCCAGGUAGGUCUGCUGUGAAAACUCGAGGCUCAACCUCGAGAUGUCGGCGGAAACCAUCUGGCUAGAGUCCGGAAGAGGAAAGUGGAAUUCCCGGUGUAGCGGUUAAAUGCGCAGAUAUCGGGAAGAACACCCGUGGCGAAGGCGGCUUUCUGGGACGGUACUGACGCUGAGACGCGAAAGCGUGGGGAGCGAACAGG
rnacentral:rRNA from 1 species